GCACAACGCGAAGAACCUUACCAAGGCUUGACAUCCCCUUGACCGGCACAGAGAUGUGCCCUCUCCUUCGGGAGCAAGGGUGACAGGUGGUGCAUGGUUGUCGUCAGCUCGUGUCGUGAGAUGUUGGGUUAAGUCCCGCAACGAGCGCAACCCUUAUCCUUAGUUGCCAGCAGGUUAAGCUGGGCACUCUAAGGAGACUGCCGAUGAUAAAUCGGAGGAAGGUGGGGAUGACGUCAAAUCAUCAUGCCCCUUAUGUCUUGGGCUACACACGUGCUACAAUGGUCGGUACAAAGGGCAGCGAAGGAGUGAUCUGGAGCGAAUCCCAAUAAACCGAUCUCAGUUCGGAUUGUAGGCUGCAACUCGCCUACAUGAAGUCGGAGUUGCUAGUAAUCGCGAAUCAGAACGUCGCGGUGAAUGCGUUCCCG
rnacentral:rRNA from 1 species